rnacentral:lncRNA from 1 species
UACAUGUCAAGAGGAUGCACCUUCUCGUUAUCUGCUUGUUCGACCUGUAGAGUUGGCCCGUGUGGGUUGUUGUUGGUGCAUGCGGCGAAAUUGUUGGCGGCUUCCUUGUUGUUCACAGUCGUGGGGGUGUCGUCGAUGUGGCGUGCGUGGGGCCGGAGCGGGUCCUUGAGGGGUGUGACAGCGGCUUCUUCACUUUUCCUGACUGGGAGUUCGGCUGGCUCGCCAGCUGUGGGGGAGCCCAUGGGGGCGCCUCUCGUUUGUGUGAGGUGUUUGUCGUCGAACUUAUAAUGGGCAUUUUUGCAGGUCAGGUGGGCGAGGUCGGAUGGGACUUUGAAUUCCUUUGGUAUGGUGGACGUGUGGCACAGUGCAUUCCUGAGUUCUGGGACGGCGGGCUCCGGUGGGAGGCUGGGGUGGAGGGAUUU